AUACGGAGGAUCCGAGCGUUAUCCGGAUUUAUUGGGUUUAAAGGGAGCGUAGGCGGAGGAUCAAGUCAGCUGUGAAAUGUAGACGCUCAACGUCUGCACUGCAGUUGAAACUGGUCCCCUUGAGUGCGUAAGGGGCAGGCGGAAUUCGUCGUGUAGCGGUGAAAUGCUUAGAUAUGACGAAGAACUCCGAUCGCGAAGGCAGGUGGUCGGGCCGCAACUGACGCUGAAGCUCGAAGGUGCGGGUAUCGAACAGGAUUAGAUACCCUGGUAGUCCGCACAGUAAACGAUGGAUACUCGCUGUCGGCGAUAUACGGUCGGUGGCCAAGCGAAAGCGUUAAGUAUCCCACCUGGGGAGUACGCCGGCAACGGUGAAACUCAAAGGAAUUGACGGGG
rnacentral:rRNA from 1 species